rnacentral:rRNA from 1 species
ACKGCUCAGUAACACGUCGAUAAUCUGCCUUUGAGUCUGGGAUAGCCUCGGGAAACUGAGAAUAAUACCGGAUAGGGAAAAACAACUGUAAGGUGUUCUUCCCUAAAGCUUCGGCGCUCAAAGAUGAGUCGGCGGCCCAUCAGGCUGUUGGCGAGGUAAUGGCUCACCAAACCUACGACGGGUAAGGGCCUUGAAAGAGGUUGCCCUGAGAAGGACACUGAGAUACGGGUCCUAGCCCCACGGGGUGCAGCAGCUAGGAAAACUUUACAAUGCGCGAAAGCGUGAUAAGGGAAUUCUGAGUGCUCAGGCUUAAGCCUGGGCUUUUGUCAAGAGUAAAAAUCUUGGCGAAUAAGUGGUGGGCAAGACUGGUGCCAGCCGCCGCGGUAACCCCAGCGCCACAAGUGGGAGCCACUUUUAUUGGGUCUAAAGCAUCCGUAGCCGGUCCUGUAAAUUCUCUGUGAAAUCGGCCAGCUCAACUGGUCGGCGGGCAGGGAAAACUGCAGGACUUGGGACCAGGAGAGGUCAGAGGUAUUCUGUGGGGAGCGGUAAAAUGCUAUAAUCCACAGAGGACCACCGAUGGCGAAGGCAUUUGACCAUAAUGGAUCCGACGGUGAGGGAUGAAAGCCAGGGGAGCGAUCCGGAUUAGAUACCCGAGUAGUCCUGGCUGUAAACGCUGCGUGCUAGACGUUGCGCAAUCCUCGAGAUUGCGCGGUGUCGGAACGAAGGUGAUAAGCACGCCACCUGGGAAGUACGGUCGCAAGGCUGAAACUUGAAGGAAUUGGCGGGGGAGCAC